rnacentral:rRNA from 1 species
UGAGUACGAGAUGCUACGGCAUCGAAGCAGUUUAUGUCAUACUUCCAAGAAAAGCUUGCACUGUCAUAAACAAAGAAUGCCUGUACCAUUACCGACACAGGUGGGUAGGUAGAGCAUACUAAGGGGCGCGAGAUAACUCUCUCUAAGGAACUCGGCAAAAUGACUCCGUAACUUCGGGAGAAGGAGUGCCUUAUUUCUAAGGUUGCAAUAACAAGAUCCAAGCAACUGUUUACCAAAAACACAGGUCUCCGCUAAGUCGUAAGACGAUGUAUGGGGGCUGACGCCUGCCCAGUGCCAGAAGGUUAAAGAAGUUGGUUAGCAUUAGCGAAGCUGAUAACUGAAGCCCUGGUGAACGGCGGCCGUAACUAUAACGGUCCUAAGGUAGCGAAAUUCCUUGUCGGGUAAGUUCCGACCCGCACGAAAGGCGUAAUGAUUUGGAUACUGUCUCGGAGAGGGGCUCGGUGAAAUAGACUUGUCUGUGAAGAUGCGGACUACCUGCACCUGGACAGAAAGACCCUAUGAAGCUUUACUGUAACUUGAGAUUGAAAUUGGACUUUAUUUGCGCAGUAUAGGUGGGAGGCGUUGAGAAUAAUCUUGCGGGAUUGUUGGAGCCAUCAGUGAGAUACCACUCUUGUAAUGUUAGAUUUCUAACUUUGUAUCAUUAUCUGGUCAAAGAACAGUUUCAGGCGGGCAGUUUGACUGGGGCGGUCGCCUCCCAAAGGGUAACGGAGGCGCACAAAGGUUUCCUCUGAACGGGUAGAAAUCGUAUCUAGAGUGUAAAGGCAUAAGGAAGCUUGACUGUGAGACCUACAAGUCGAGCAGGGACGAAAGUCGGUCUUAGUGAUCUGACGGUGCUGAGUGGAAAGGCCGUCACUCAACGGAUAAAAGUUACUCUAAGGAUAACAGGCUGAUCUCCCCCAAGAGUUCACAUCGACGGGGAGGUUUGGCACCUCGAUGUCGGCUCAUCGCAUCCUGGGGCGGUAGUCCGUCCCAAGGGUUGGGCUGUUCGCCCAUGAAAGCGGUACGCGAGCUGGGUUCAGAACGUCGUGAGACAGUUCGGUCCAUAUCCGGUGUAGGCGUUAGAAUAUUGAGAGGAGCCUUCUCUAGUACGAGAGGACCGAGAAGGACAUACCUCUGGUGUACCAGUUAUCGUGCCAACGGUAAACGCUGGGUAGCUAUGUAUGGAGUGGAUAACCGCUGAAAGCAUCUAAGUGGGAAGCCCACCUCAAGAUAAGUAUUCUCAUC